rnacentral:tRNA from 1 species
GGUAGCGUGGCCGAGCGGUCUAAGGCGCUGGUUUUAGGCAUUAUUUUUGAAGAGGCGUAGGUUCGAAUCCCACUUUUGCCA